CACGGUCAACGCUUUUACAACCCUAUGAAGUUACAAAAAGAAGCAUUCAAUACUUAUAAUUACAUUUUUUUAGCUAUGAUCAAGAAAACACGAAUUUUAUAUUGUUUUUAUUUAAUUCACCUGUGCACUUUAUUGUGGGACCACGUGUUAUCAUGAAUGAAAAGUUUUAUUGAGUGAUGCAAUUGCUUACGGAAUAAUACGUGAUGUGCAGUUAGCCAAUC
rnacentral:lncRNA from 1 species